rnacentral:sRNA from 1 species
CUCAAACCGCGUAAGCGAUGGUAGCGGAUAUCCUUUUUUUGGUGACUGAGCGAAGCCGAAGUCACCAAAAAAAGAUAGUAGCGAACGUAGCGACCCGAG